GUCGAACGCCUACAGCCGCAGAAAACAAAGCACACUUUCGUCUACCCACGCGCACUCACUCCAAAAGAAAACGGAUUCGCACUCGCUUCACCAUUCCACUAUUCCCCGUUUCGUUUGUUUCUCUUAGAUCUCUCUCUCUCUCGUACAGAGCCCCUCUCGGUCUCUUCACUUUUAUCAUCAUUACCUCUCCACCCCUCGCAUCUUUCUCUUCACACCUCCGCCCUUUUCAUCUGUUCUGUGUAGGGUUGUGUCGUGUACUCUUUGUUUUACCUGGAAGUGGCGCUGGAAAAAAGGUUCUGCAUCAACGGAAGCGACGACAAGAGCAGCGUCAGAGGCAAAAGACAGAAAAACAAAGGAAAAAAAACAGACGUUCACAUACGCCUUUCCAUCCAUCUUUUUCUUUCUCUCCUUUUUAUUGACGCGACUUUUAAAAACUGUUGUUUCGCCUCCGACGCAUCUCAUGGGUCUGCCCGCUCAUCGCCAAACAGCACCGCUCUCGUUUCUUGCUUCUACUCACACGAGACACUCCUUUGAUCAAGCCCUCAUAUCUUUGUUCCCUCUUGUGUGUUGUGGUCAGCUCGCGUGGUUGCUCCUAUUUCUUUUUUUCCUCUUCUCGUCUUCACUCGAUUGUUUCGGCAACAAACGCCUUCAGCACCACCCUUCUCCCCUCCUUCCCUACUGUUCUUCUGUUUCUUGUCACUCCCACUCUUAGCUUCCUCUCUUUGGGCUCUGCGCCUCUUCCGGCUUUCUUCUUUUCCGCUCUUCUUUUUUUCCUUCACUCUGUUCGCUGCGUGCUGUCUAACCUUGAUUCAACACCAGCAACACGAUCCCUUACUCGCGUCCCUUCACACACACACACACACACACACACACACAGGCUCGACAAGAGAAAUACAGAGCCUCCAUAUUUCUUUUAUUUGUCGUAGUCUUGCCGAUCGUCUUCACUCUUCCUUUUCUGUGGUGAAGCACCAGCUGCGCACUCUCUCUUUCUUACCCUUUCUCCUUUUUUUUGCUAACUGCUUCUGUGUCGAAGGGUGCAGCGGCUUCUUUUUUUUUCCUUACCGCUCGAUUCUCGUCUCUUCACUGGCACUCCUGAAGCUCCUUGUCCCUCUUCUUCACACACAUACACACUCACCGAUACACAGACAAUACAAAGAGAAGCGCCUGGGAACCUGUGACUGUGGCGACCUCUGGUACUGUCGUUUGUUUUUAGUGCUUGCACUCGUGAGCUUUUGUGCGCGCGGCUCCCUUGGCUCGUUUUUGUUUGAUCUGGGUAUCUGGGUCCGAGUCUCUGUUUCUCCCUUUUUCGGUGCACACAGCAGAUUCCUCAACUUCGUAGUCAGGCCACCCUUCCCCUUUUUUCAACUGGCCAGACUGCGUAAACGAAAGGGCGACGAGCUUGACAGCCGGAAAGCACAGUAGACACUCACACGGACACAAAGGAUAGGAGGCAUGAGUGGUUAUUUGAAGGUGCUGUCUCCGGACGGAAGGUGGGAGACACGUUACAUUGAGAUCGACGACGCCAAGUUGCGCAUUUGGAGGACAAAGGGGGACAAGGAAUCCAGUGCGGCAGUGGUAAAGGAGCUGGACCUCAAGUGUGCCACCCUGCGCGAGGUGUCAGAGCCCAACACUUGGGCGGUGCAGCCGGAAAAGGCAGAGGCCACAUACUUCCAAGCAGACGGAGAAGAACGAAAAACUGAGUGGAUGGACACGCUGCGGCACUACAACUCGAGCAGCUCCGCGUCCGAGAAGGUGACGCUUAGGGACUUUGAAAAGAAGUUCGUGCUAGGCAAAGGCUCCUAUGGCAAGGUAUUCAUGGUAGUGAAGAAGGACACGGACAAGUGGUACGCUAUGAAGGAGAUGAGCGCGGAGAAGAUGCGACAGGCGGAGAUAAAGGCGCCGUUUGCAGAGCGCAUUAUUUUGGAGGAGAUCGACCAUCCUUUUAUCGUUCACCUUCACUACUCGUUCCAAGAGCAAGGAAACUUGUACAUGAUCCUGGACCUACUAGCAGGCGGCGAGCUUUUCACCUACAUUGAGCAACACGCUCCACUCGAUGAAGAGGUCGUCAAGUUUUACGCUGCCGAAGUCGCCCUGGCGCUCGGGUAUCUGCACAGCCGCAACAUUAUUUAUCGCGAUUUGAAGCCGGAGAACGUCGUCUUUGACCGUGACGGGCACGCCUGUCUAACCGACUUCGGGCUCGCCAAGGCGAACGUGCACGAGCCGAACGCUGUCACAUACUGUGGCACGAACGAGUACCUGGCCCCAGAGUUGCUGAAGGGUGUGCCGCACGGCAAGGCGGUAGACUGGUGGUCCCUAGGGCUAAUGAUGUGUGAGAUGCUUUUCAACGACCUCCCUUUUUACGACGAAAAUCCGAUGCAAAUGCAGAUGAAGAUUUUGACGGAAGACGUUGCCUUCCCACCCCACAUUCAGAUCACUGAGGAGACAAAGGACCUGAUUCGGUGCCUGCUGAACAAGAACCCCGAGCGCCGCCUGCAAACGUUGGAGGCGUUCAAGGCACAUAAGUGCUUUUCAAACCUCGAUUUCGGUCUUCUAGAGGCGCGCAAGCUCAAGGCGCCGAUAACACCCGAUCCAAACCCGGCCCACAACUUCGCGAAGGAGUUUACGAGCGAGGUGAUUGUGCAAAAUGAGUCACCGUCGCAGGCGGUCGUUACGCUGGCCGGCUACACCUACGAUAGAGACUUGUCAGAGCAGGAAAAGUCCCCCUCCCAUUCUCCCACAAUAGCAGAGGAGCUGCGGCAACGUAGAGCAUCGAUGAAAAAAUCUACCAACGGCAGUGACGCUGCUUCUCCUCCCGUGACAGGUGAAAAUAGGACGUCGAACUCCAGCCCAGCUGGGGCGCCGACGAAGCAAGCUGCAGCCGGCCCCGUAAAGAAAGUGGAGCACCACAUUCCCGCCAAGGUGGCGCCACAAGCCGCGCGGAAAAAGCUGACGGGGAACAAGAGCUUCGAUAAGCCCACGAAGUAGCCGCAACGCGGUAUUAAAUGAAACGAGCUGGGCACGCCUCUCUCUCUAUCACCCGCAGCGGGUUUGAUUACUGCUGCCAGCGUGCGUGCAAGCGGUGGGACGGGAAGGUACUAAAACGGCGGCGCUGGUGGACCGAUCUGGCCGCGCCAAUGGUAAGAAGCGAUCACGAAUGGGGGGAACAGUGAAACCGGGUCGGGCACGCAGUACUGGAAGGCGUGGAGGGCGAGGUAAGUUGACGUUGUCGAAAGAAUAAAUAAACUCCGCAGACCAUUCCCCCUAUCGGAGAGAAGUGUGCUGGCUCGGCUCACCGUCGCCACUGCGACAGCAAACAGCCUUUCCACGCUGUCUACCUUUGUGGCUUUAUCUGCCAUGGAUUGACCUCUCUCGCUUGUUCUUGCCUCCCUCUUUACGCCUUUGCUUUUUCGUUCCUCUUGUGCUUCGUCUCUGGUUUCUGUUCUUGUUACUGCCCUGCCGCCCCACUCCUCCUCUGCGUGCUUUUACCUCUCUUGAUCGCUGCUUUGCUCAG
rnacentral:misc_RNA from 1 species